rnacentral:rRNA from 1 species
GAGUUUGAUCAUGGCUCAGAUUGAACGCUGGCGGCAGGCCUAACACAUGCAAGUCGAGCGGAUGACGGGAGCUUGCUCCUUGAUUCAGCGGCGGACGGGUGAGUAAUGCCUGGGAAUCUGCCUGGUAGUGGGGGACAACGUUUCGAAAGGAACGCUAAUACCGCAUACGUCCUACGGGAGAAAGCAGGGGACCUUCGGGCCUUGCGCUAUCAGAUGAGCCUAGGUCGGAUUAGCUAGUUGGUGGGGUAAUGGCUCACCAAGGCGACGAUCCGUAACUGGUCUGAGAGGAUGAUCAGUCACACUGGAACUGAGACACGGUCCAGACUCCUACGGGAGGCAGCAGUGGGGAAUAUUGGACAAUGGGCGAAAGCCUGAUCCAGCCAUGCCGCGUGUGUGAAGAAGGUCUUCGGAUUGUAAGGCACUUUAAGUUGGGAGGAAGGGCAGUAAGUUAAUACCUUGCUGUUUUGACGUUACCGACAGAAUAAGCACCGGCUAACUCUGUGCCAGCCGCCG